rnacentral:lncRNA from 12 species
GCUCCAUUCUAGUAUCCCAGCAUCAUGACCUGAGCUGAAGGCCACAGCUUAACCAAUUGAGCCACCCAGGUGCCCCACUUUCCAUUAUUUUUGUAGCAAAAUCCUUUCAGAUAUAAAAUACUAUAAAACUACUAUAUACCAAGGUGUAGAUGGCUGAUAAACAGUUUUCUUAGUAUAUUCCUAUAUGUCAAUGCAAGGCAAUAUUUUAAUCAAAAGAAAUUAUCUUGAAGGGAGGGCAAUAAUAUAAGAAGUUUGUAUUUGAAUGUGGGAGAAAUUUUGUGGAGGUAAGAUAUUCCAAGAUACCAUUUAACUAGAAGUGACCAUUUACUGAUAAAUAAUCCUGCUCUUAAGGAAUAGUAAUCUCUGCAUUUUUUUCUCCCUCCCUAUUCUUUUUGGUAAAGGUAAAUGAUGUGACGUGAGAAGGAAGAAUCAUUCCUUUUCCUGUUUUACUCUCUGAUCUGAACAUAUUAUCUAGAAGAAGUUUGACCUCCGUAUCCAGGGUUGUGUGAGCCAAUUGAGCAUCAGAUACCAGGGACGGAGAAAGGAGGUAUAAGAAAACACCGGAGCAGUGUUAGACAUAAAAGAUGUUGCAUAUCAUUUGAAAACUUGUGUAAGGCUACAUGUUACUUGCUAUUCCUUCUCUGCAGUGGAUUUCGAAGAACUAUACAUCCAUCGUCUCUUUGGGUCUGUCCAAAAUCUGGGUGUUUUAAUGAUCACUAUCUUGAGGUGGAUUAAAAUAACAUGAACAGGCAAAUUCCGAAAGCCCCAGCAUGUUCAGCAGUGGGAAGGUAAGAACAAAGUGUAAAUUGUUCCUAGGUCAUUUGUCUUAUAAUGUAAAAGAAUUUGGGCAAAGC